CUACCAGGGUUUCUAAUCCUGUUCGCUCCCCACGCUUUCGUCCAUCAGCGUCAAUCAAUUGUUAGUAAUAUGCCUUCGCUAUCGGUGUUCUGUGUAAUAUCUAAGCAUUUCACCGCUACACUACACAUUCCAACUACUUCACAACCAUUCAAGACCAACAGUUUCAAAGGCAGUUGCUCAGUUGAGCUGAGCGCUUUCACCUCUGACUUACUAGCCCGCCUACAGACCCUUUAAACCCAAUGAUUCCGGAUAACGCUCGCAUCCUCCGUAUUACCGCGGCUGCUGGCAC
rnacentral:rRNA from 1 species